rnacentral:rRNA from 1 species
GACGGACGCUGGCGGCGUGCUUAACACAUGCAAGUCGAACGGAAAGGCCCUUCGGGGUACUCGAGUGGCGAACGGGUGAGGAACACGUGGGCGAUCUGCCCUGCACUUUGGGAUAAGCCUGGGAAACUGGGUCUAAUACCGAAUAGGACCGCAUGCUUCAUGGUGUGUGGUGGAAAGCUUUUGCGGUGUGGGAUGGGCCCGCGGCCUAUCAGCUUGUUGGUGGGGUAAUGGCCUACCAAGGCGACGACGGGUAGCCGGCCUGAGAGGGUGACCGGCCACACUGGGACUGGGAUACGGCCCAGACUCCUACGGGAGGCAGCAGUGGGGAAUAUUGCACAAUGGGCGCAAGCCUGAUGCAGCGACGCCGCGUGAGGGAUGACGGCCUUCGGGUUGUAAACCUCUUUCAGCAGGGACGAAGCGCAAGUGACGGUACCUGCAGAAGAAGGACCGGCCAACUACGUGCCAGCAGCCGCGGUAA